rnacentral:rRNA from 1 species
GAUGAACGCUGGCGGCGUGCCUAAUACAUGCAAGUCGAGCGAACAGACGAGGAGCUUGCUCCUCUGACGUUAGCGGCGGACGGGUGAGUAACACGUGGAUAACCUACCUAUAAGACUGGGAUAACUUCGGGAAACCGGAGCUAAUACCGGAUAAUAUAUUGAACCGCAUGGUUCAAUAGUGAAAGACGGUUUUGCUGUCACUUAUAGAUGGAUCCGCGCCGCAUUAGCUAGUUGGUAAGGUAACGGCUUACCAAGGCAACGAUGCGUAGCCGACCUGAGAGGGUGAUCGGCCACACUGGAACUGAGACACGGUCCAGACUCCUACGGGAGGCAGCAGUAGGGAAUCUUCCGCAAUGGGCGAAAGCUUGACGGAGCAACGCCGCGUGAGUGAUGAAGGUCUUCGGAUCGUAAAACUCUGCUAUUAGGGAAGAACAAAUGUGUAAGUAACUAUGCACGUCUUGACGGUACCUAAUCAGAAAGCCACGGCUAACUACGUG